rnacentral:rRNA from 1 species
UACGAAGGGGGCUAGCGUUGCUCGGAAUCACUGGGCGUAAAGGGUGCGUAGGCGGGUUUUUAAGUCAGGGGUGAAAUCCUGGAGCUCAACUCCAGAACUGCCUUUGAUACUGAGAAUCUUGAGUAUGGGAGAGGUGAGUGGAACUGCGAGUGUAGAGGUGAAAUUCGUAGAUAUUCGCAAGACACCAGUGGCGAAGGCGGCUCACUGGCCCGGUACUGACGCUGAGGUGCGAAAGCGUGGGGAGCAAACAGG